rnacentral:rRNA from 1 species
UACAGAGGUCCCAAGCGUUGUUCGGAUUCACUGGGCGUAAAGGGUGCGUAGGUGGUGAGGUAAGUCGGAUGUGAAAUCUCCGGGCUCAACCCGGAAACUGCAUUGGAAACUACCUUGCUUGAGGGUUUGAGGGGGGACUGGAAUUCUCGGUGUAGCAGUGAAAUGCGUAGAUAUCGAGAGGAACACCAGUGGCGAAGGCGAGUCCCUGGACGACUCCUGACACUGAGGCACGAAAGCUAGGGGAGCAAACAGG